rnacentral:rRNA from 1 species
UAAGACUAGAUGGGGUAUCCCUACAUAGCGGGUGGGACCCACGGCGAAUGGUUCAUCAAGUCUUCAAAAAAGAAUAUAUACGAUUGCAUUGCAUAUACUAACGGAUGCGAUCAUACCAGCACUAAUGCACCGGAUCCCAUCAGAACUCCGCAAUUAAGCGUGCUUGGGCGAGAGUAGUACUAGGAUGGGUGACCUCCCGUGAAGUCCUCGUGUUGCAUCCCUCUUUUAUGUUUAACCUUUUUUUUUUU